CCAGGGGGCCGGACGGCCGCCGGUGGAUCGGUUUCGGCCGCUCCACGGGAGGAAAGUCCGAACUUCACCGGACAGGGUGCCGGCUAACGGCCGGGCGGUGUGAACCGACGGAUAGUGCAACAGAAACAGACCGCCUCGGACUUCGGUGCGAGGUAAGGGUGAAAUGGUGCGGUAAGAGCGCACCGGCGUCCUGGUAACAGGGCGGCCGGGCAAACCCCACCCGAAGCAAGACCAAAUAGGGGAGCGCUAGGGGUGUCCGGCUCCGCUCCCGGGUAGGUCGCUCGAGGCAGUGAGCAAUUGCUGCCCUAGAUGGAUGGCCGUCGCCGCUCUUCGGAGUGGUACAGAAUUCGGCUUAUAGGCCCCCUGGCAUU
rnacentral:RNase_P_RNA from 1 species